UACAGAGGUCUCGAGCGUUAGGCGGAAUCACUGGGCUUAAAGCGUGUGUAGGUGGAUGCCUAAGUACCUUGUGAAAUCCCACAGCUUAACUGUGGAACUGCUUGGUAUACUGGGUGUCUUGAGUCACUCAGGGGCGAGCGGAACAAAUGGUGGAGCGGUGAAAUGCGUAGAUAUCAUUUGGAACGCCAAUGGUGAAAACAGGUUGCUGGGAGUGCGCUGACGCUGAGACACGAAAGCCAGGGGAGCGAACGGG
rnacentral:rRNA from 1 species